AACGAACGCUGGCGGCGUGUUUAAGACAUGCAAGUCGCACGGAAUCAUUUUAGUAGUAAUACUCGAAUGGUUUAGUGGCGCACGGGUGAGUAACACGUGAAUUACAUGCCCUUCAGUGGGGAAUAGCCCAGGGAAACUUGGAUUAAUACCCCAUAGUCUCGCAAGAGUAAAGGUGGCGUAAGCUGCCGCUGAAGGAUUGGUUCGCGCCCUAUCAGCUUGUUGGUGAGGUAACGGCUCACCAAGGCUACGACGGGUACCUGGUCUGAGAGGACGAUCAGGCACACUGGAACUGAGACACGGUCCAGACACCUACGGGUGGCAGCAGUCGAGAAUAAUUCACAAUGGGGGCAACCCUGAUGGUGCAACGCCGCGUGGAGGAUGACGGUCUUCGGAUUGUAAACUCCUGUCAUCUGGGAGAAAGACCUGGCCGUUAAUAGCGGACAGGGUUGAUAGUACCAGAAGAG
rnacentral:rRNA from 1 species